UUCUGUUUCUGUUCAGAAUGCCGUAUGUGACUGACUAGGUUUGUCUAAAUGUGGCAAAUUAUAUCAACGUGGUCGAUUUUGUUGAUGUAUAGGGUAGGCCGACUAUUAUUUCCACGACAUUCCCUUAUGUAUUUUCACUUGUAGGUGAAUACUCAUUUGACUGGCAAAUUACAUUACGUCGAAAGAACUGAGUUGACCUGCACACAAGCUGCAUCAUUUGCAUCAAGCAACAACACCAUAUGCGAGACAACCACUUCUGGUGAAUAGGCUACUGUAAAAUAAGUGCGCCACAAGAAAGUAUAGCUCGUUUUGUUUGUCUAUUUUAUGUGUUUGUUAAUCAAUGAAAUUAUAGUCUAUCGUGACAAAGGACUUUUUUAAAAGAAGAAGAAAAUAAAUGGUGUACUGUCUACCUUUCGCUCUGAACACGUCACGUUGGGGCGGCUCUCACAGCAGGUGUGCUCUCUGGGUGCGAGAAGAAUAGAACCAACAGAAUAGACGCACCUUCCGUUAUUUUCAGGGUGUAUCGACACAAUGAUGGACCUUAGAUGCAUAGGCGGGUGUGUGCCGUUAUUUUGUCUGGCUAUUGGUUUUGAUGUUAUUGGUUUCAUUAUCCUAUUCAUUGGAAUUUUUGCCAAUUUGCGUAUCGAUGGCAGGUUUUAUGGUGAUUUCUUGAUUUACAGUGGUUCAAUUAUAAUUUUCAUAAGUUUGGCUUGGUGGAUUAUGUGGUACGUGGGAAAUAUACAGGUCUCAGAAGACAGCUUUGGAACAAGCUUAAUGAAAAAGAAACGGAGUUUUGUACAGUUGGCCAGAAAGUUGUCAGAGAGGCUUUCCAAAAAAUGCAAACCUGAACAUGUAACCACAAAGUAUGCCGAGGAAAACAAGGUUAAAGCUGUGACGCCUUCACCUGUUCACGUCGCCUCUCGAAUAACGUGGGGGAAAUCUUUCGGUUAUCAGAAUGGCGGCUAUGACUCCAGCUUGGACUCCUUUUCGAUGGAGAAGGAGAAACAGACACCAGAUAUACAGAACGUGGAUGUGCAGACCCUCGCUAGGGGUAAUGUUGAAAGGCUGUUCUGAUUGUUCUCUGUAGCACUUUCUGAUCCCAAGACUACCUUCAACACUGUACACUUCACGGAAUGGGACUACAGACAAUUCAGGACAUUAAUCAGUGCUGGCCUGGACAUCAGUUCUUGACAACAAAGACUCAUCAUUAUGGGGUGAAAUGAGCCAUAGUCCUAGGGAUAUAGGCCUACUGUAGAUAUUGCUCUGAAUGCAUAUUAUAUUGUUUUAGUUUUUUAUUUAUAUAUCAAUUAUUAAUAUAAUCGCCAUGUGAUGCUAUGUGAACUUUUUAUGUUCUAGGAUCAAUAUUAUGUGGAAAGGCUAUAUUUUGUCAUAUAAACAUAUCGACAUGUUAAGGUCCAUCGUAGCCAUUUUCUAGAAUAGUCUCAGACGGAAAUCCUAGAGGCCCCUGUCUGAACGGCAGGUAAUUGAACACAGACUCUCUCCAAGCCAGACCCAGAAAUGCAAUCACCUGCAUUUACAAUUGUUGACACUACAUAAAAACAGUAGUCAGGCAGGUUUGUCUGUGCCACAACAAUUGCAUUGCCAAAGCAGGCCGUAAACCCUCAACAAAACGUUGUGUGGCCUGGGGCACUGAGCUUGGUUUCACCUGCAUGUUGACAUUACAUGGACAUUUGGGCUAUACUCUUUUAACUGUUCAAUGAGUAGGCCGAUUUUGUUUUUAUUCAUGUGCACAAACUUAUAAAAUGUAUAUUCCACCAGACUGCAUUUUUUUUAUGUUGUGAUUUCUUUUAUAUUUUAUUUCUUAAUAUUCUUUAGAUUUCAGUUGCCUUACCAACAUACAGGUUUUGUCUAACAUGACUGAUAAUGAGCGUGUGCAUAUCAAGUCAUUGUACUCAGGGCGUUGCCUGUCUGUACGCUAAUGUUACCUAAUCCUGGCCUGUUGACUCUGUUUUGCGGUCCUCAGUUGAAUAGGUAUUGCACAGAGGUAAACCAAACUCCCACGACUGUCUGACUGGUCAAACAAGGUACUUAAAGGGAGAGGUUUUUCACUGCAGUUCCUCUUUCGGUCAUGAUGUAAGAAGCAUGAAAUAGUAAAUAAUUGUGGAAUGCGUCCAGUAGGCCUACUGCAGGCUAAAUAUAAACUGCUGAUAGAAUCACUGAAAUAUAUCUUCCCAACAUACAGUAUCUUUUCCCACACUGUUCAUAAUUUUAGAUGUUAUACAUAUAUGCUGAUGUCAUAUUUUUCAUAUUUACAUUUUUAUUAAUUUUUUUUAAUUUUUUUACAUUUUAGUCAUUUAGCAGACGCUCUUAUCCAGAGCGACUUACAAAUUGGUGCAUUCACCUAUAAUAUCCAGUGGAACAACCACUUUACAAUAGUGCAUCUAAAUCUUAUCAAAUGCAUUAUUAUUUUAUACACAGACGCAUGGUGCAUUAGAUUUGUAUUUAUUUAAAAUAUACAUCCAAUGAUCUUGAUAAGCAUCCAAAAUAAAAAUAGUUAUCUAAUGAGAUGAUCCAUUUCAAGCACUGUAAUUACAUUGCUGCAAGUCAGGGAUUGCUAAGGAAUGAGGUUGGACCAUUUGGUUUUUAUGUUUUAAUGGAUCAUUCAGAGUAGUACAACCUGUUGAUGUGGUUGGAUACCAGUUUUGCUGCUGUUUCCUACUUGGAAGAAUUUGAAGGCGUGCUGAAAAUCAGAAGAAUGCGACUUACGUUUUAAAAAGGUUGUGGCUGGAAAGGCUUCUCCUCAUUCUUGUAAAGUCCUCAGCCGACAGGAACCCAGACAGCGUCCAUGUCCCUGCUAUGGAUACCUCUUCUAUGGGUCGCUGUGUUUUCUUUCUCAUCCUGGCUUUGGUCUUUGACGUUGUCGGUCUGAUCCUAUUUUUCCUGGGGAUCUUUGCUCCUCUGAGUUUCUGGGACUUCUUUGUGCUGUCGGGGCCCCUGCUCAUCUUCCUCAGCCUGGUCUUCUGGAUAUUCUGGUACCUGGGGAGUCUCACAGUGCCUUACGAAGAGCUCAAGUUGCCAAAGUGACACCCAAACAUGGUCAAAGGUGACCAAUGGCUGGUCCCCCUGGACUGACAGCUUGACCCUCACAACUUUAAGGAGUUGACAGAAUUCUGGAUUCUGGGUGUUUGACCAUGUUUCUCAUUGGACUGUGAACCAGAGGCCCUUGUUUUCUUUAAAAAAGGAACCUGUUGGACCCUGGAACAACUCCAGUUGUAAGUGAAGAAUGGCAUAUGCACCUUAUUCUACCUAUGAUGUAGAAUGACAAGAUGUCAUGUACAGACAGCCAGGAUUUCAUCUGUGCUGGGUUGAAGUGGGACAUGAACUCUAAAGCACUUGGGUCCAUCCUUAAAGACUGCAUCAGCACAUGUUUAACUCCUUUUAUAGUAUGUGUAAAAUAAUAAAUAUUUGUUCAAAUAAA